rnacentral:rRNA from 1 species
UACAAUCUGCCUUUAACAGGGGGAUAGCCCGGAGAAAUCCGGAUUAAUACCGCAUAAAAACACAGCACAGCAUUGUGCAAUGUUCAAACAUUCAUGGGAUCAAGAUGGGCAUGCGUGCCAUUAGCUAGUUGGCGGGGUAACGGCCCACCAAGGCUACGAUGGCUAGGGGAUCUGAGAGGAUGGCC